ensembl:lncRNA
AUGACCGUUAGGGAGUGCAUACAUCUACAAAUGGCCUUAGGACUACCUGGCCUGAUGACUCCUUGCUGUCCCCAGUCCACCUGGUCGUGCUGCUGCUCCAGUUCAACUGUUCUGCCUGCGGCUAUGGAACCCUGACCUGUUCAUCGGAUGUGCUACCUUGCCCCAGACCUGCUGUUUUCAACUCUCUAGAGACAGCAGGUACGGCAGAGAUACUCUGAAUGAUCGGCUAUGAAAAGCCAACUGACAUUUGCUCCUGAGGUGCUGACCUGAUGCACCCUCUACAACCACUGUGAUUUAUUAUUAUCUGACUCUGCUGGUUAUCUAUGAACAUCUGAGCAUCUUGGACAUGUUCUGUUAUAAUCUCCACCCGACACAGCCAGAAGAGGACUGGCCACCCCUCAUAGCCAGGUUCUUCUCUAGGUUUCUUCCUAGGUUCUGGUCUUUCUAGGGUCUUUUUCCUAGCCACCGUGCUUCUACACCUGCAUUGCUUGCUGUUUGGGGUUUUAGGCUGGGUUUCUGUACAGCACUUUGUGACAUCAGCUGAUGUAAGAUGGGCUUUAUAAACACAUUUGAUUGAUCUUUGAAAUGCAAGAUAAAGGCCAUAAUGUAUUUUUCCCAGUGUCACGUUCGUCCUCUUCUUCUGACGAGGAGUAGCAAGGAUCGGACCAAAGCGCAGCGUGGUACGUGUUCAUGACGAUAUUUAUUUAACUCAGAACUCUAAAACAAAAACAACAAUGAGAAUGAUACGAAACGAAACAGUCCUGUCUGGUGACAUACACAAAGACAGAAAAUAAUAACCCACGAAACACAAUAGAAAACAGGUUCCCUAAAUAUGGUUCUCAAUCAGGGACAACGAUUGACAGCUGCCUCUGAUUGAGAACCAUACCAGGCCAAACACAGAAAUAGCAAAUCAUAGAAAAACUAACAUAGACAACCCACCCAACUCACGCCCUGACUAAAACAAAGACAUAACAAAAGAACUAAGGUCAGAACGUGACACCCAGCCCAGGUGCAAUUUAGAUUUUGGCCACAAGAUGGCAGCAGUGUAUGUGCAACAUGUUUAGACUGAUCCAAUGAACCAUUAUAUUUCAGUUCAACAUUUUGUAUCAAGACUGCCCAAAUGUGCCUCAUUUGUUUAUUAAUAACUUUUCAUUUUCAAAACUGUGCACUCUCCUCAAACAAUAGCAUGGUAUUAUUUCACUGUAAUAGCUUAUUUUUAGAUAAAAAAUAAUUUAAGCUUUCUGCCAAUAUCAGAUGUGUCUCUGUCCUGGGAAAUUUUCUUGUUACUUGCAACCUCAUGCUAAUCGCAUUAGCCUACGUCAGCUCAACCGUCCCACCAACCCUGAAGAAGUUUUAAAGAUACUUCCAGACAUAUAUUGAGAGCCUAGUUCUUCGACUCUGCUCAUCCAUUGUUGACACUAAGCAUCUGGCAGGCUGUAGUCGUCAUUGGCUCAGUUUUGACCCUGAGCGUUCAGCAAACAGUGUAGUGUUUUGACUGGGAUCACAGACUUCACAUGGUGGCAUGGCACACACUCAGGGGAUGGCCUUGAUUGGCCUUAAGGCUAAUCCUCUUGUUAACUGAGAGAAGUCAAUUAACCAAAUGACCGCCAUUUGAACAAAGCGUCAAACAUCUUUGUCUCUGUGGCAUAUCAAUGCUUUUCUGAAGAGAGUAUUUGCAUUUUAGCAGCAUAAUUAACUCAACAGACUAAUGAUUUGCAGUGAAUCACAAUGAAUCACUGAUAAAUAUAUAAUCCGUCUCAAUAGUAAGCAGAGGAAUGCGGGAUGCCAUACUCAUUAGUACAGAUGUGAUAAUUGUGUGUUGUGUGUUCUUGGUUUCUGUCAGUCACAUGUGGGAGUGUGAACCAGUCAGGGGGGACCCAUGUUCUGUCUUUUAAUGCAUGAUGGUUGCAUGUGUGGGAUCUAUAAAUGUUUAUUGUCCCCAAAGGAAACUCUGUUUGCAACAAAUACGUACACAUCCGGUUUCUAUACUUUUGUAUAUAUAGUGUAUUUAUACUCCGGACUCCGAUAUUACUCGUCCUAAUAUUUCUACAUUUCUUAAUAUUAUUAGUUUACUUUUAGAUCUGUGUGUAUUAUUAAAUUUGACUGUACUGUUGGAGCUAGGACAAACACAAGCAUUUCGCUACACCCGCACUAAAAUCUGCUAAACGUGUAUGCGACCAAUACAAUUUUAUUUGAUUUGAUCAGAGGAGAGUGGUGGGAGGAGCUAUAGGAGGACGGGCUCAUUGUAAUAGCUGGAAUGGAAUAAAUAGAACGCUAUCAAACACAUCAAACAUAAGGAAACCACUGUUUCAUUUUUCCAUUCAAGGCCUUACAAUGAGCCUGUCCUCCUAUAGCUCCUCCCACCAGCCCCCUCUGGUACACAUGUGUUUGUGUGUGUGCAGAUUUAGUAUGUGUUAUGGUAUUAUGUUUCCUACAGACGUGUUUUCAGGCAAGGAGCCAGUAGCUUUCUAGGCUGAAUCACACCACUGAUUAAGACACAUCACAUUGUAUGUGUCGAAUUGCUACGCUUUAUCUUGGCCAGGUCGCAGUUGCAAAUGAGAACUUGUUCUCAACUAGCCUACCUGGUUAAAUAAAGGUGAAAUAAAACAAUAAAAAUACAAAUAAACAUCACACUAAUGUGAAAAUAGAGGUUUGCUUUCUGAUGCUACAGUGAGAGGUGGGUUUCUGAUGCCACAGUG